ensembl:lncRNA
GCCCCCCCACACACCAACAACUGUCAUAACCAAAAACAUCUCCACGUAUUGCCAGAUGCUCCCUAGGGGAGAAAAUCACCCCUGGUUGAGAACCCCUGCUCUGUGGCAUGUAAGCUGAAGCUAGGAGAGUGGGUAAGACUGCCCAGGGAAUGUACUUAAGCAAGGGCUAGAUGGAGGCCCAGAACUGCCAUUCAAGGAUGAAGAGAGAGGGCAUGGAGCAGAGAGCAAGGCUGUGGACAUCCUGAGACAAUGAGCAAGCUCUUCCUGGGAAUGAGUGCGGCACCGGAAAAGGCUCACUGGAUUUGGUGACUGGGAAGUUGCUGGCGCCUGGGUGGGAGCAGACUCAGAGUUGUCAGACACCUCUGGGAGUUAAGCGAUGUUGCCCCCAGAUUUGAAAGUAAAGGUGAAAGGCGUGGCUGUGAUCACAAGAGCUGGGAUUUCAAGCUUUUUUACCAGUACCACCACCUCCACCUUCUCUUCCAGGACCCAAGAGUAAGAGAAAGAAUGCUCCCUCCACUCCCCAGUGUCAACUCAACAGGCUGUUCCCUGUGCCAAUCAUGGGCAAGAAAGCCUGGCUCUUCCUCAAGCCCAGAAAGUGGUCUUUAGGAUAGCAAGAGAGAAAAAGCCUGAAGAUGGAAGAUUCUGUCAAGCCCUGCCAUCUCAAAAAGGUAUGGUGCUCCCUGGCCCACUAAAGCCAGAAGCCAGCAAAACCAUCCAACUCUGGGCCUGUCUUUCCCACGCUAGUACCAACAGAAACCAAACGCUAGGCUAAAAAGUCCAGACUAAGCUGAAAGGUACCAUUUGUAACCACAGACCUGGUUACACAGCCAGAAGGAUGUUUCCAAAGUGCAUUUGUGAGCACUUUACCCUCCUGAGCACAGCCUUUUCAUUGGCUCCCCACUGCCCAGAGAAGGAAGUCCACGCUCCUUCGCCUGGCACUCAGGGCCCUUCACUGGCUGGGUCAGUGUACCUGUGUGACUACACACUUCUCGGUAUCUGACACACACUGUCCCUACCCGCCGUCUGGGCCCACUCCUUCUCCAGAGCUGCCUCUUUCCUAGGGCUCAGCCCUUCUCUCCUCUGGACCCCCAGCACCUUGGACUUCCCUGAGCCCUGCUCUGUAUUUUUUCAGUCACCUGCUCUCCCCGUCAGUGCUCACCUCUCACUCAAAACCUAAGGUCCUUAUGGGCAGACUUACCUUGCUCAUCCUCUGUGCUUACACAAAACAGAUGCUCAGGAAGCCUUUGUGGGAAGAUGGAUGGUUCUGGGCAGCAAAUGGGAGGAAGUUUCCAGUCAUGAUUAAGCCAAAAGGUGAGUAAUCUCUACAGACUAAGGCAGGGGUUGGCAAAAUAUGGCCUACUGCCUGUUUUUCUAAGUAAAGUUGGUUGGACCACAGCCAUGCUCAUCUGUUUACGCACCAUCUCUGGCUGUUCAGGUGCUGUAACAGCAGAGCUGAGUAGCUGUGACAGAGCAAAUGGUCCACAACACCUCAAAGAUUCACUAUCUGGCCCUUUACAGAAAAAGUUUGCCAACACCAGGGCUAAGGCAGUGUUCCCAUAUAUUUUCACAUUGUGACACACACAAAAGAGGUGAUAUCUGCGUGGCCCACUAGGGUAAACAGACAAGGCCUCUUGUAGUUAGACAUACCCGGCCCUGGGGUUCUGGGCCCCUAAAGGCUGAUGGGACCUGUGUCUCAGUACACCUGUAACCUUUCAUAGCUCCAACCUGAAGGCUCAAAACCACAGCUGCCUCUCUAACCCUAGCCUCCAACUGAGCUAUAGAAAGAGGUGCAGAAACCCACCCUGACUCCUCAGGUCUCCCUGCCCACCUGUCCAGGACAAACCAGAGGUGGCAGGACUGAGACAGACACAAAACUGAGGCCCAAAGCAAAUCCUCUAGUAAUCUUACAAUUUGACAUUUUUCCCCUCCUUAAAGUACUCUGUAGAGCAAGUCUGCACCUUCCCACUGGCUAAAGACCAUGUUCUACAGCUGCUGAAUCCAAUGAGCUCUGGCCCUUGUCCAGACAAAGAAACCAAAACAUUAAUUCUAAAGCAGAAGGCUGCUGUAUGAAUGAACACCCGCUGCCUGUCACUCCCUCUGACUGACGAGCCCAGCAGAGCAGAAACUAAGGUAAAGGGCAGGAUGCUGACUGACCAGCCUGCAAAACUCUCUAUCUAUUGCUCAAAGACAUGCUUCCCAGAGAGCACAAGAAGGGGGCUCAUAUCCCUCCAUCCAUGAAAGAGUUGGGCCCAUCAAACCCCUAUUUCCCAGCCCAAUAGAGAUGGACUCUGCUACACUGCAACUCCUCUCCUCAUCACUCCCCCC